UAGGGAAUCUUCCACAAUGGACGCAAGUCUGAUGGAGCAACGCCGCGUGAGUGAAGAAGGUUUUCGGACCGUAAAGCUCUGUUGUUGGUGAAGAAGGAUAGAGGUAGUAACUGGCCUUUAUUUGACGGUAAUCAACCAGAAAGUCACGGCUAACUACGUGCCAGCAGCCGCGGUAAUACGUAGGUGGCAAGCGUUGUCCGGAUUUAUUGGGCGUAAAGCGAGCGCAGGCGGAAGAAUAAGUCUGAUGUGAAAGCCCUCGGCUUAACCGAGGAAUUGCAUCGGAAACUGUUUUCUUGAGUGCAGAAGAGGAGAGUAGAACUCCAUGUGUAGCGGUGGAAUGCGUAGAUAUAUGGAAGAAUACCAGUGGCGAAGGCGGCUCUCUGGUCUGCAACUGACGCUGAGGCUCGAAAGCAUGGGUAGCGAACAGGAUUAGGUACCCUGGUAGUCCAUGCCGUAAACGAUGAGUGCUAAGUGUUGGGAGGUUUUCCGCCUCUCAGUGCUGCAGCUAACGC
rnacentral:rRNA from 1 species